GUCCUUUUGAUUUUUAUAUAAGGUCUGACCUGCCCUAUGAAUAUUUAAAUGGCCGCGGUAUACUAACCGUGCAAAGGUAGCAUAGUCAUUUGUCUCUUAAUUGGAGGCUUGAAUGAAGGGUUGGACGAGAUAUAAGCUUUCUUUGUUAUAUUUUAUUGAAUUUGACUUUUGAGUUAAAAGGCUUAAAUUUUUUUAUAGGACGAGAAGACCCUAUAGAAUUUUAUAUAUUUGUAUAAUCGAUUUAUUUAUUUAUUAUUUAAUUUUUUGUUUAAAUAUAUUUUGUUGGGGCGAUGGGAAGAUUUUAAUAACUCUUUUUUAUUCUAAUCAUUGAUUUAUGUUUUAUUCUGAUCCUUUUUUAGAGAUUAUAAGAUUAAAUUACCUUAGGGAUAACAGCGUAAUUCUUUUGGAGAGUUCUUAUCGAUAAAAGAGUUUGCGA
rnacentral:rRNA from 1 species